GAGUUGUUUGGUAAUAUAUCUGUAAUUAUAAACACUGUAUUUUGAAAGCUCAGAAAGAGCUAGCAGAGGGCUUGUUGUGGGAAGAAGUUGUUGCAGAGGUUUGCUUUUUUGUGGGGGAGACCAACCUUGCUACAACCAACAACCCUGAGACCUUUAACUUUGGAAAAACAAAGGUGCUUCACCAGCCUGCUCUGGUACAAUCAACUCCCCCAGCAAAGAGCCUCAUUGAUGGACAGGAGCUGGAGAAUGUUGGAACAUUUUGCAUAACUCAGCAGCCAUCUGUCAAAGAAACCCCUGCAACAUCAAUUAAGAGAUUCAGUAUGUAAUCUGUUAUGCCAGCUCUGCCUUCAGAAGACUGAAUCAUUUUGUGUUUAAAGAUCAUGACAUCAGGACUUGAACAAAGCUCCUACUAUAAAAGGCGGUGGUAAUCCCAACUCGUCUCUACAUCUGUGAAGUUUGGGUGGCCUCCAGGUACCACCUAAAAAGCCUGGAACACCAUGACCAAUUCUGUAGCAUAAAGUGGGAGAAUCAUCACAGAUGCCAGUGUCCUCACAUCACAACCACCACUGGUUGGAAGCACUGCCUAUUCAACAUCAGCUGUGGUGGACAGAGCAUUGUGUGCAUGUCUGAUGUAUGUAUACCAAAACUGCUACACUCUCCACUCAGCCAAAGACAAUGGGCACACAGGGGCCAGAGAAAAUGCUUCAAGAACACCAUUAAUAUGAACAUUAAGAAGUGUGGCAAUGAUACCACAAAGUGGGAAAAACUAGCGUGGGACAAGUCUACAUGUCAAUCCCUUGUGAGAGAAGGCACAUCUUACUUUGUGGAAAGUUGUCUUACUCUGGAGGCAGGAAAAGUAAAGGUAAUAAGACCAAGAAAUUUGUGGUCCAACCCUCCCUUUAACCAUCACCUGUGGCAUUUUCCAGAGCGUCUGUGGCUGUAGGAUUGGCCACCUUAGCCAUCAACGGACUCAUCUACAAUCCUUUACUUGACCCAUGGGAGUGAUUAUCCUCAACUGUGAGGGAUCACCAUCACUGACAGGAUAUGCCCUAAGCAUCUAAGUCUAGCCUCCCUGGCUCUCUCAGAAAACUUCCUUGCACCAGAUUGUUCUGAUGUUAUCAUUUUGUGAUCUAUUUUUCAAUAAAUCCCCCAAUAUCAAUCUUAGCAUUCUCA